rnacentral:rRNA from 1 species
AUUGAACGCUGGCGGCAGGCCUAACACAUGCAAGUCGAACGAGUGGCGGACGGGUGAGUAAUGUCUGGGAAACUGCCCGAUGGAGGGGGAUAACUACUGGAAACGGUAGCUAAUACCGCAUACUAUCGGAUGUGCCCAGAUGGGAUUAGCGAGUAGGGGGGGUAACGGCUCACCUGGGCGACGAGCCCUAGCUGGUCUGAGAGGAUGACCAGCCACACGGGAACUGAGACACGGUCCAGACUCCUACGGAAGGCAGCAGUGGGAAAUAUUGCACAAUGGGGGAAAGCCUGAUGCAGCCAGGCGGCGUGUAUAAAGAAGGCCUUCGGGUUGUAAGGUACUUUCAGCGGGGAGGCGGUACCCGCAGAAGAAGCACCGGCUAACUCCGUGCCAGCAGCCGCGGUAAUUC